CUUAUUAUUUGCAUUUUGGCUUCCCAGUUAACAACAGUUGAUUGUUGGGGAUCACAUGUUGAUGGGAAAUUCACAAUAUGAAAUGGAUUUGUCUGUAAUUUUUUCUUUUUAUUCAUUACAGGGAUUUUCCUUUGAAUACAAGUUUUCCCCUAGCCGCAGCAAGCGGAGCAGUGGAUGUUCUCUAUGGAAACUGCCAAAGAUCGCCAAGACUGUUGGGUCCCCCCCUUCCCCACAAAUAGAUAGUUAUCCUGUUUAAAAAUCAUAAACUAUAAGCCGUACCAUGUCAGUAAAGAAAACACAAUAAGCAUUAGCGGAUGGCAUAUACCAUUUCCUACAGCUCCAAGAAAUCCCGCAAUCAUGUAAAAAAUGUCCAGCCGACUUGCAUAGCGAAACUAAGAAAAGAGAAUAAACAUGCAGUAAUUUACAAUUGUAGAUUUCCCUUUAUUAAAAAAAAAGAUGGAUUUUUGAGAACAGGGGCUGAUUUCAGAACAACAAGGGACAGAAAGGAAAUGAGGAAUGGGAAAAAAGGACACACAUUCAUCCACUAAUGAUAUCAUAAGGUACAUUGGACUUUAUAAGUUUGGUGUAUGUCAUAAAACCUGAAUUUUCAGCUGUUAAGAACACAGAGGUGAUAAACAAAAGCAUGUACACCAGCAUAUUGGUGCAAUAUUUGUUGUUCAUCAGCUUUAAAAAAAAAAUUAAAUCAGAC